rnacentral:rRNA from 1 species
GGUGAGUAACACGUGGAUAACCUACCUAUAAGACUGGGAUAACUUCGGGAAACCGGAGCUAAUACCAGAUAAUAUAUUGAACCGCAUGGUUCAAUAGUGAAAGACGGUUUUGCUGUCACUUAUAGAUGGAUCCGCGCCGCAUUAGCUAGUUGGUAAGGUAACGGCUUACCAAGGCAACGAUGCGUAGCCGACCUGAGAGGGUGAUCGGCCACACUGGAACUGAGACACGGUCCAG